AAAUCGGCUUUUUCACUCCUUUCUAUGGAGAUAUGAACACCUUCGUGUGUUUCGUAAGUACGCCUAUUCUUCUUUUGUUCAGUUUUGAAGGAACUUAACUUCCUUUAGGGGCCUAUAGCUCAGCUGGUUAGAGCGCACGCCUGAUAAGCGUGAGGUCGAUGGUUCGAGUCCAUUUAGGCCCACCAUUUUCAUAAAAUUUCAUUCCCAUUAUGGGGCUUUAGCUCAGCUGGGAGAGCGCCUGCCUUGCACACAGGAGGUCAGCGGUUCGAUCCCGCUAAGCUCCACCAUUGCACAUCUUACGAUGAUGCAUUUUUAAAUUAAUGUUCUUUGAAAACUAGAUAUCGACAUCCAAACAAUAUGCAAGGCAGAUAGAUUUAUCUAAUCUGCGCCAAGCAAGAAUUUUUGAGGGGAAACUUCAAAAAAGGUAAACUUGGAAGGGGCCAACGUGGGAUCCCUUGGGUAAAA
rnacentral:tRNA from 1 species